AUUGAACGCUGGCGGGAGGCCUAACACAUGCAAGUCGAACGAGUGGCGGACGGGUGAGUAAUGUCUGGAAAACUGCCUAAUGGAGGGGGAUAACUACUGGAAAAGGUGGCUAAUACCGCAUACCAUCAGAUGUGGCCAGAGGGUAUUAGCUUGUUGGUGGGGUAAAGGCUCACCAAGGCGACGAUCCCUAGCUGGUCUGCGAGGAGGACCAGCCACACUGGAACUGGGACACGGUCCAGACUCCUACGGGAGGCAGCAGUGGGGAAUAUUGCACAAUGGGCGCAAGCCUGAUUCAGCCAUGCCGCGUGUAUGAAGAAGGCCUUCGGGUUGUAAAGUACUUUCAGCGGGGAAGCGUUACCCGCAGAAGAAGCACCGGCUAACUCCGUGCCAGCAGCCGCGGUAAUAC
rnacentral:rRNA from 1 species